AACCUCCGCAAUGUGAGAAAUCGCGACGGGGGGAUCCCAAGUGCCAUUCUUAACGGGAUGGCUUUUCAUUAGUGUAAAGAGCUUUUGGAAUAAGGGCUGGGCGAGACCGGUGCCAGCCGCCGCGGUAACACCGGCAGCUCUAGUGGUAGCAGUUUUUAUUGGGCCUAAAGCGUCCGUAGCCGGUUUAAUAAGUCUCUGGUGAAAUCCUGUAGCUUAACUGUGGGAAUUGCUGGAGAUACUAUUAGACUUGAGACCGGGAGAGGUUAGAGGUACUCCCAGGGUAGAGGUGAAAUUCUGUAAUCCUGGGAGGACCGCCUGUUGCGAAGGCGUCUAACUGGAACGGUUCUGACGGUGAGGGACGAAAGUUAGGGGCGCGAACCGGAUUAGAUACCCGGGUAGUCCUAACUGUAAACGAUGCGGACUUGGUGUUGGGGUGGCUUUGAGCUGCUUCAGUGCCGAAGGGAAGCUGUUAAGUCCGCCGCCUGGGAAGUACGGUCGCAAGACUGAAACUUAAAGGAAUU
rnacentral:rRNA from 1 species